ACAGAUCCGGAAACCAAUCGAAGAUUGACUCCUUCUAGUUCUAAUCCUAUGUAGCUAUGCUAAUCUAGAUGUCUAAUUGAUGUGGUGGCUCUAAUCUUGAUCAGAGGCUUCUUCUCCCUUGAUAGAACAAUGAAUUAGGGUUGAGAGGCUCUCUCCUCCAGGGUCCAGGGGGUCUGGUUUUAUAGUCCCUUCAAGUGAAUAUGGGCCCUUGGAUCAAACCGACAUAGAUUGUAUGGUUUAGAUUCAUCCUUUAGGUCGGUGGAGAUCUCCCGCAAAGCAGAGUCCUGAUUGGACUCAGGGGCAGGGCGGGCGCCCUGACCAACUGGGCGGCCGCCCAGGGUCUGGCCCCGUUUCGCCUCCGCUUCGGUCUCGUGGCUUCUGGAGUCUUCUAGAUGUAAGAUAAUUGCGCAGCACGUUAAUAUCUUUACGUAAUCCUGACAUGUGGGCCUUUCUUCCAUAUUUCCUGAUAACCCCCUGUAGAAAUAGACAAACACCAAAACUCAUGGAAUUCUGUCAGAUAAAACCCUAAGUCUAGAUGUUGAUUUCAUUUGGGUCCUUUUCUUUAUUUAUUUGAUAAUUAAAUUUGAUACUUAAGGACCGUCAACAAACUCCCCCAAGCUUACCUCUUGCUCGUCCCUGAGGAAAGAUAGACUCAGCUAUGGAUCAUAAGUUGUUGAAAUAUAUAUAUAUAUAUAUUUUAAAAAAAAUUGACGGUACACAUGCUUUUUAAAUAAGAUCUCAUCUCUGAGUAAGAGUAAACUGUCAAGACUUAAAACUUACUUACUUUACCUUUACCAUGGGACUUGUAACUGUCACUUCUGUCUUGAGUGGUUAAAAGAUAGAACAGUCUAGCCAAGUGCCAUGUCUCUUAUUCUUGAUCAGCUAUAGCUCUGGGGUUUUUGCAGAUUUUCAAAUAAAACUCAGAAAUUCCUUGUAUGAUUCUCUCAGGUCUCUCUUUUGUGGUAUUUUUGGAUCCUUACCAAGGCAUUGAUGGUAUAUGCCUUCUCUCAAGAUAUGUAGUAUUUGUGGUAUGAGGCAUAGUGACAUUGCCUUCUCUCUCACCCUACUCUAAUAAGGCUUUAAUAUCUGGAGCUCAUAGGUGGGAGAUAAAAUAUACAUACUUACAAGACAUUUAUUGUAUAGUCAAACCUUGGAUGCAAAGUAACAAGCCAAUAAGUUUAAUUAAGAUGUGCAUGGGUGGCGAAUGAAUGGUGUAUGGUGAUGAUGGUGAUAACAAUAGUGAAAACAAUGGUGGUGGAAGUCUAAUUCUACUUUGCUCUUUUGAGGGGAUACAUACCUUCCUUGCUUUUGAAACUUUAUGAGGAGAAUGAGAUGCUCUUCUCUCUUUUUUUUUCAGGUGGGUAUCUUGCACCCCUAAUUCUACUGUCGGACACUUGUCCAUUUUUACCUCUCGUCUCACUUUUUCUUUUCUUUUGAGGUUCCGAGCACUUGCUCCUUUUUAUUUCCUCGUAUCUCUUUUUUUCUUUUUUUUCAGAGCAUUUAUCUCUUGAGAUAAUAUAGCAAGUGGUAGUAACAAGAUAACUUGAGCAUUUAUUUCACAAGGGGAAAAUAGAAAUAUUUUUGGUUAUUCUCUCCCGGAUUAGGAGUAGAAUAUUUUUGGGUGAUUCUGGAGAUGGAAUGGGUGGAUAUAUGUGGAUGGUACUUCUGGAGUAGAAGUAGCAUAUAUGAGUGAACGUGCAAGUGAAUCUUGAUUUAACCACAUGACAAGCUCCUAAGGGUCUACACAGCUUGACCACACUCAAUGCUCAUAAGUAGUAAAUAGUAAAUGUGUGGCUCGAAGUCUAGCAAGCAUGUAUAUAUGGCUGUGGUAGGAAUUUAAACUCUCAUCAUACAGGAACUCAUCAUGCAACAUUUUAAAGAUUUUCAAAGAUAAAAUUCUCCAGAAUUCUAGCAUCUCUAGGAACAGAUAAACAGCAGCUCAACCUUCCCAUAUCGUAUCCGUUAACAACUUAGACUUCAGAUCAAGUUUUCAUCCCACAAGUUUAGGUCUAGAGCAAGCUUUAAAUUAUAACAGUUAUAUCUAAACUUGAGAGAGAACUUAAAAUGUGCAAAUUAGGCAAAGCAACUAUUCAUCAUAUCCAUGCUUAAGUUUUAUUUAGAUACAGAUAAGCAUAGCCACUUUAUUUAUUUAUUAAACAUACUAAGCAAAAGAUAUAUAUAAGUAUAAAAUCUUUAUUUGGUUUUUCAUAGUUUAUGUAUUUUAAUAUUCUAAAAUAAUAUAAGUAUAAAGAUAGAUAGAAAUACUUAUCGUGAUAAAUGGGGGUGCUCUCCCCCAAGCUGAAUUUUGACGUAAUUUCUCUUGGUGUAGCUAGCAGGUGGUAGAGGUGUAUUUGAAAGUCAGCAGCAUUCUGACAGCGAUUAGAAUGUCAUCCGUCUGCUAGUCUUCUUGAUUCCUAAAUUCUGUGGAGCUCAAAUAGACAACAAAGCUUGUGGAACUGAUUAAGUGUUAGCAUAAAUAUUUAGCCUUUAUUAUCUUGAGACUCCUUAAUAAUUAUUACUCCCUGUUUUUAUAUUUUUAUUUUAUAAAGCAGAAAAAUAUUUAUUUUAUUUUUAUGCCACCACAGUGAAUGUACUCAUGGGUGUUAUGCCACUCGUCUACUCACAUGGGGCUUACUGUUUUUUCACAUUUUUUAUUUUAUUUUUAAGAUAGUAUGAACUUGAUUAACUAAGUAAACUAUUUGAAAUAACUGAAAGGGAAAGGAUAACUACCAAGUUUACCUCUUGGCAAGGCGUUCGGUGUUUUUAAGUCCUCCGAACGGGACUCUCCAAUUUCUUAAUUGUCCUGAGGUUCGUUGGGUGGCGUAGUCGGUACUUCCGGCAGCGCCUCCUCUUCUUGUAUAGUUAUCUUCAUUUUCCAUACCUGACUCGGUGCUUCAAUCUCCUCUGGAUAAUUCUAUUUAAAUUCAACGUCUUCUGACCUUACAACUUCUCCUUCAUAGUCUGCCCAUCCGUCCUUGAUGAUCUGCCUCCUCUGGUUGCGGUUGCGUCUUUUUCUGACCUGCUUAGAUUCUUCAAUGAUAUAGUUAGGGUCAGUAAAAUAAUGGCGUACCUUCUCUGAGGGGAAGUGCAUAUGGACUUCUCCGGUUCCAAUGUAGAUAAUUGCUUUAACGGUGCUGAGGAAGGGUCUUCCAAGGAUGAUGGGUGGAUCAUACUCAUCUUCUCCCAUGUCAACAACUUGAAAGUCUGUGUAGACAAAGUGAUCGUCUAUUUUGACUGGGACAUCAGAUACUAUUCCUUUAACUUCUCGAAAUGUCUGAUCUGCCAUCUGGAGCUGAAUGUAUGUUGGUCUUAGUGGCAAGGUCCCGAACAAGAGCCGAUAAGUGACUGCGGCCAUUUUGUUGACGCCCGAUCCGGUGUCACAAAUCGUCUUGUAGAAGUUGUAUCCAUUUAUGGAGCAGUAGAUGCUUGGCAUUCUUGGGUCGUCCUUCUUGGUCAAAAACGGUGACUUAACUUGAUGAUCUUGGCCUCCAUGGACUACAGUGACCAUCUUAGCUGACUCGGUCCACACUUGCUUGUUCCUGUUUCUCCUGUUGGUCCUCUUCCUUGAUUCACGUCUGGAUUGAUCUUGAAUUUGUGUAGUCUUGUUCUUGAAGAAAAAUGUCUCCUUCUUCUCUUUGACGUAGAAACUGAUCUUGGCAGCACUAGCGUAGAUGAUAGCUCCCGUGGUGUUCAAGAAUGGCCUCCCUAGGAUGAUAGGUGCUUGUUGGGUAUUCUUAACAUCAUUACCAAAAGUAGACUAAGUUCUAAAUCUAGCAACGGUGCCAAAAAUGCCAAACCUAUCCCUCACACCACUUAAGCCAAGUUGUCAUCCCCAGCAUGACAUGAGAGACGCGGUAUUGAAAUAUGCAAUUGCUCUUCUAAAUAAAUAAUGAAUGGGAUCUGCAAGCGCACAGAUUAAUACCGAUGCAGCAUUUUAACCGGGAAGUAUUCCAGGUAUCGUUAUUUAUAUUUUUACCACUGGGAAGGGAUUAGAAAUCAUCACUAAUGAUUACAGAAUAGAAUAUGAGAUUGAGCAUCUAUCAUUGCAUGUAUAAUUGAGAACAUUAUAUCUAACUCAUCAUACAGGGAUAAGUGUCACAUAAAAGAUAUAUGAAAUAAUAAUAGUGACAAGGAUAACUAAUCUGAUCUAGCCACAUAAUAAAUAUGAUAAGCGCCUCAAUUAGAUACUCUAGAAAGUCAUUAGCAUGGUAUUAGAACGAACUACAAGAAUAUUCCCUAAGUUAUUCUCAACUAUAUAGUCUAGCAUAUCAUAGUUAGUGCAAGCAUACUUAGCAAUCAUUGCGAGACAAGACUACGCCCAUGCAUAGUGAUAUUAGCAAGGAAUAUGAGAAACAUAGCAAUCACUCCCCUGUAAUAAUGUUGCUCUGCCAGCCCAAUACACGAGAGGGGGACUAUAUAAGAAUCAAUGAAGCUGUCACUAUCACGAACCACCCCACGAUCUGGCAUAUUGGGUACAAUCGCAGAUAAAUACGGUAUAAGCACCACGCCUACACAAUAUCUAUCAUUUACCCAUGGAUCCGAUGGAUAAACGCUAUACGAUCCUAAUCAUGUAUAUAGAUCGUAUCUAACUAAGCCAAGUACAUAACUAUGAUAAACUAAGAACAAUAUAAUCUUGAAUAUAAGCAAAUAGAGCAAAGUCAUAAGCAAUAUAUUGAAGUAGAACAAAGUCAUAUUCAUAAUAUUGAAGAACAAAGAUAAUUAGAAAGCAAUUAGAGGCACAAUUAGAGAAUUACCAAGAAUCCUCCUGACAGAUCCGGAAACCAAUCGAAGAUUGACUCCUUCUAGUUCUAAUCCUAUGUAGCUAUGCUAAUCUAGAUGUCUAAUUGAUGUGGUGGCUCUAAUCUUGAUCACAGGCUUCUUCUCCCUUGAUGGAACAAUGAAUUAGGGUUGAGAGGCUCUCUCCUCCAGGGGCCAGGGGGUCUGGUUUUAUAGUCCCUUCAAGUGAAUAUGGGCCCUUGGAUCAAACCAACACAGAUUGUAUGAUUUAGAUUCAUCCUUUAGGUCGGUGGAGAUCUCCCGCAAAGCAGAGUCCUGAUUGGACUCAGGGGCAGGGCGGGCGCCCUGACCAACUGGGCGGCCGCCCAGGGUCUGGCCCCGUUUCGCCUCCGCUUCGGUCUCGUGGCUUCUGGAGUCUUCUAGAUGUAAGAUAAUUGCGCAGCACGUUAAUAUCUUUACGUAAUCCUGACAUGUGGGCCUUUCUUCCAUAUUUCCUGAUAACCCCCUGCAGAAAUAGACAAACACCAAAACUCGUGGAAUUCUGUCAGAUAAAACCCUAAGUAUAGAUGUUGAUUUCAUUUGGGUCCUUUUCUUUAUUUAUUUGAUAAUUAAAUUUGAUACUUAAGGACCGUCAACAAACUCCCCCAAGCUUACCUCUUGCUCGUCCCUGAGCAAGGAUAAUCUCAGUGAUAUAUUAGAAGUUGCUGCAGUACUUUAAAAAUUGACGGUACACAUGCUUUUAAAUGAGGUCUCAUCUCUGAGUUAGAGUAAACUGUCAAGACUUAAAACUUACUUACUUUACCUUUCACCAUGGGACUUGUAACCGUCACUUCUGUCUCGAGUGGUUAAAAGAUAGAACAGUCUAGUCAAGUGCCAUGUCUCUUAUUCUUGAUCAACUAUAGCUCUGGAGUUUUUUGCAGAUUUUCAAAUAAAACUCAGAGAUUCCUUGUCUGACUCUCUCAAAUCUCUCUUUUGUGGUAUUUCUGGAUCCUUACCAAGGCAGUGAUGGUAUAUGCCUUCUCUCAAUAUAUGUAGUAUUUGUGGUAUAAAGCAUAGUGACAUUGCCUCCUCUCUCACCCUACUCUAAUAAGGCUUUAAUAUCUGGAGCUCAUAGGUGGGAGAUAAAGUAUACAUACUUACAAGACAUUUAUUGUAUAGUCAAACCAUGGAUCCAAAGAAACAAGUCAAUAAGUUUAAUCAAGAUGUGCAUGUGUGGUGAAUGAAUGGUGUAUGGUGAUGAUGGUGAUAACAAUGGUGAAAGUCUAAUUCUACUUUUGCUCUUUUGAGGGGAUACAUACCUUUCUUGCUUUUUGAAACUUUAUGGGGAGAAUGAGAUGCUAUUUUUUUUCUUUUAUCUCAGGUGGGUAUCUUGUACCCCUAAUUCUACUGUCGGACACUUGUCCAUUUUUACCUCUCGUCUCACUUUUUAUUUUCUUUUGAGGUUCCGGGCACUUGCCCCUUUUUAUUUCCUCGUAUCUUUAUUUCUUUUUUUUAGAGCACUCAUCUCUUGAGAUAAUAUAGCAAGUGGUAGUAACAAGAUAACUUGAGCAUUUAUUUCAUAAGGAAAAACAGAGAUAUUUUUGGCUAUUCUCUCCCGGAUUAGGAGUUGAAUAUUUUUAGGUGGUUCUGGAGAUGGAAAUGAGUGGAUAUAUGUGGAUGGUACUUCCGGAGUAGAAGCACCAUGUGUGAGUGAAUGUGCAAGUGAAUCUUGAUUUAACCACAUGACAAGCUCCUAAGGGUCUACACAGCUUGACCACACUCAAUGCUCAUAAGCAGUAAAUAGUAAAUAUAUGGCUCAAAGUCUAGCAAGCAUGUAUAUAUGGCUGUGGUAGGAAUUUAAACUCUCAUCAUACAGGAACUCAUCAUGCAACAUUUCAAAGAUUUUCAAAGAUAAAAUUCUCCAGAAUUCUAGCAUCUCUAGUAACAGAUAAACAACAGCUCAACCUUCCCAUAUCGUAUCCGUUAAUAACUUAGACUUUAGAUCAAGUUUUCAUCUCACAAGUUUAGGUCUAGAGCAAGCUUUAAAUUAUAACAGUUAUAUCUAAACUGGAGAGAGAACUUCAAAUUUUAAAAUUAAGCAGAGCAACUAUUCAUCAUAUCCAUGCUAGAGUUUUAUUUAGAUACAGAUUAGCAUAGCCACUUUAUUUAUUUAUUAAACACACUAAGCAAAAGAUAUAUAUAUAAGCAUAAAAUCUUUAUUUGGUUUUCUAUAGUUAUGUAUAUUUAAAUUCUAAUAUAAUGUAAGUAUAAAGAUAGGUAGAAAUACUUAUCGGGAUAAAUGGGGGUGCUCUCCCCCAAGCUGAAUUUUGACGUAAUUUCUCUUGAUGUAGCUAGCAGGUGGCAGAGGUGUAUUUGAAAGUCGGCAGUAUCUUGACAGCGAUUAGAAUGUCCUCUGUCUGCUAGUCUUCUUGAUUCUUAAAUUCUGUGGAGCUCAAAUAGACAACAAAGCCUUGUGGAACUGAUUAAGUGUUAGCAUAAAUAUCUAGCCUUUAUCAUGUUGAGCUUCCUCAACAAUUAUUGCUCCCAAGUUUUUAUAUUUUCAUUUUAUAAAGUAGAAAGGAAAUAUUUAUUUUAUUUUUAUGCCACCACAGUGAAUGUACUUAUGGGUUUUAUGCCGCUUGUAUACUCACAUGGGGCUUACUAUUUUUCACAUUUUUAUUUUCUUUUUAGGAUAGUAUGAACAUAAUUAACUAAGUAAACUAUUUAAAAUAAUUGAAAGGGAAAGGAUAACUACCAAGUUUACCUCUUGGCAAGGCAUUCGGUAUUUUUAAGUCCUCCGAACGGGACUCUCCGUUUUCUCAAUUGUCCUGGGAUUCGUUGGGUGGCGUAGUCGGUACUUCCGGAGGCGCCUCCUCUUCAUGUAUAGUUAUCUUCUCUUUCCAUACCUGACUCGGUGCUAUGGUCUCCUCAGGAUAGCUCUAUUUAAACUCUACGUCUUCUGAUCUUACAACUUCUCCUUCAUAGUCUGCCCAUCCAACCUUGAUGAUUUGCCUCCUCUGGUUGCGGUUGUGUCAUUUCCUGACGUGCUUAGAUUCUUCAAAGAUAUAGUUAGGGUCAGUAAAAUAACGGCGUACCUUUUCUGAGGGGAAGUGCAUAUGGACUUCUCCGGUUCCAAUGUAGAUGAUUGCUUUAACAGUGCUGAGGAACGGUCUUCUAAGGAUGAUGGGUGGGUCGUAUUCGUCUUCUCCCAUGUCAAUAACCUAAAAGUCUGUGUAGACAAAAUGAUCGUCUAUUUUGACUGGGACAUCAGUUACUGUUCCUAUAACUUCUCGAAACAUCUGAUCUGCCAUCUAAAGCUGAAUGUAUGUUGGUUUUAGGGGCAUGGUUCCGAACAAGAGCCGAUAGGUGACUGUUGAUAUUUGGGAACGCAAUAAGGAAUUGAUCCGCAAGCGCACGGAUAUCAGUGAGCACUUCACCCGAGAAAUUAUCCAGAGUAUCGUAUUUAUUUUUUUACCACUAGGAGAAAGAGUGCAUCUGACUAACCGGUCUAUUACUACUAACCCUUUAGGCACAAAGAAUGUCUUUCGAUGUGAGUGAUAAAUAGAGAAGACUGCAACCGUAGUCUCCUUCUAACCUUGGUAAGGAUGAUUUACUGCUCUAUUGGGGAGGCUAACGGAAUCUAGACACCACGAAGGAUGUUCAACCCGCACCUAUAAACCCUAUCCUUCCUGCUAACGAGAUAUGGUAUGCAAAGGUAACUCGGAAUUGUCACGUUCCUCACUACUACCACGGUCCAGCUAGUCAGGGAAUAUCUAUGAGUACCCCAGCCUAAACACCAUGUUUACGCCAGUAAUGAUUACUCUAAACUCUACGCGAAGAGAUUAAAGUAAACUCAUAAACCAGAAGAAUAAUAAAACAAGAACUUACUAGAAUUUAGAAGUCGAAAUACUGAAGAAUCC
rnacentral:lncRNA from 1 species